UACGGAGGGUGCAAGCGUUAAUCGGAAUUACUGGGCGUAAAGCGUGCGCAGGCGGUUUGUUAAGUCCGCUGUGAAAUCCCCGAGCUCAACUUGGGAAUUGCAGUGGAUACUGGCAAGCUGGAGUAUGGUAGAGGAAGGCGGAAUUCCCGGUGUAGCAGUGAAAUGCGUAGAGAUCGGGAGGAACACCAGUGGCGAAGGCGGCCUUCUGGACCAAUACUGACGCUCAUGCACGAAAGCGUGGGGAGCAAACAGG
rnacentral:rRNA from 1 species